AGAGUUUGAUCAUGGCUCAGAACGAACGCUGGCGGCGUGCCUAACACAUGCAAGUCGAACGCGAAAGGGGGCAACCCCCAGUAGCGUGGCAGACGGGUGAGUAACACGUGGGUAACCUACCCGGAGGUGGGGGAUAACCCUUCGAAAGGAGGGCUAAUACCGCAUGACACCGCGGGGACUUCGGUCCUCGCGAUCAAAGCUGGCCUCUGUUUACAAGCUAGCGCCACCGGAUGGGCCCGCGCCCCAUUAGCUAGUUGGUGAGGUAACGGCUCACCAAGGCGACGAUGGGUAGCCGGCCUGAGAGGGCGAUCGGCCACACUGGAACUGCGACACGGUCCAGACUCCUACGGGAGGCAGCAGUGAGGAAUAUUGCGCAAUGGGCGAAAGCCUGACGCAGCGACGCCGCGUGGAGGAUGAAGGUCUUCGGAUUGUAAACUCCUGUCGAGUGGGACGAAUGCCGUGAGGGUGAACAAUCCUCGCGGUUGACGGUACCGCUGGAGGAAGCCCCGGCUAACUCCGUGCCAGCAGCCGCGGUAAUACGGAGGGGGCUAGCGUUGUUCGGAAUCAUUGGGCGUAAAGGGCGCGUAGGCGGCCGAUCAAGUCGGAGGUGAAAUCCCUCGGCUCAACUGAGGAAUUGCCUUCGAUACUGUUCGGCUUGAGUCCUGGAGAGGGUAGCGGAAUUCCCGGUGUAGCGGUGAAAUGCGUAGAGACCGGGAAGAACACCAGUGGCGAAGGCGGCUACCUGGACAGGUAUUGACGCUGAAGCGCGAAAGCUAGGGGAGCAAACAGGAUUAGAUACCCUAGUAGUCC
rnacentral:rRNA from 1 species